UACGUAGGGGGCAAGCGUUGUCCGGAUUUAUUGGGCGUAAAGAGCGUGUAGGCGGCCAUGCAGGUCAGCUGUGAAAACUCGAGGCUCAACCUCGAGACGCCAGUUGAAACCGCAUGGCUAGAGUCCGGAAGAGGAGAGUGGAAUUCCCGGUGUAGCGGUGAAAUGCGCAGAUAUCAGGAGGAACACCGAUGGCGAAGGCAGGUCUCUGGGCCGAUACUGACGCUGAGGAGCGAAAGCGUGGGGAGCGAACAGG
rnacentral:rRNA from 1 species